UCUUCAAAAAUAGACUUGUGAGAGACUGCAGAACUCGAACUAAUAUGCAAAUUAGACACAAUUAACUCAGGCCCAAACAGAGACUGGGAAUGGUUGGGUCAUUACACUUAUUGAAU